CCUACUGGAGACAGCAGUGAGGAAUAUUGGUCAAUGGACGAGAGUCUGAACCAGCCAAGUAGCGUGAAGGAUGACUGCCCUAUGGGUUGUACACUUCUUUUAUCUGGGAAUAAAGUGUUCCACGUGUGGGCUUUUGGAUGUACCUUAUGAAUAAGGAUCGGCUAACUCCGUGCCAGCAGCCGCGGUAAUACGGAGGAUCCGAGCGUUAUCCGGAUUUAUUGGGUUUAAAGGGAGCGUAGGUGGAUUGUUAAGUCAGUUGUUAAAGUUUGCGGCUCAACCGUAAAAUUGCAGUUGAAACUGGCAGUCUUGAGUACAGUAGAGGUGGGCGGAAUUCGUGGUGUAGCGGUGAAAUGCUUAGAUAUCACGAAGAACUCCGAUUGCGAAGGCAGCUUACUGGACUGCAACUGACACUGAGGCUCGAAAGUGUGGGUAUCAAACAGGAUUAGAUACCCGAGUAGUC
rnacentral:rRNA from 1 species